UACCGCUCCGGUAGCCUAGUCGUUAGCGAGUCCGCCUUGGAUGCGGGGGGUCCCGGGUUCGAACCCAGGCUGAGUAA